rnacentral:rRNA from 1 species
GACGAACGCUGGCGGCGUGCUUAACACAUGCAAGUCGAACGGAAAGGCCUGCUUUCCCUUGUGGAUUGCGGGUACUCGAGUGGCGAACGGGUGAGUAACACGUGAGUGAUCUGCCCCCAACUUGGGUAUAAGCCUGGGAAACUGGGUCUAAUUCCCGAUAGGACUGCAGGGUGGUGCCUGUGGUGGAAAACGAUUUUCUAGUGGUUGGGGAUGAGCUCGCGGCCUAUCAGCUUGUUGGUGGGGUAAUGGCCUACCAAGGCGGCGACGGGUAGCCGGCCUGAGAGGGGGGACGGCCACAUUGAGACUGGGAUACGGCCCAGACUCCUACGGGAGGCAGCAGUGGGGAAUAUUGCACAAUGGGCGGGAGCCUGAUGCAGCGACGCCGCGUGGGGGAUGACGGCCUUCGGGUUGUAAACUCCUUUCGACCGCGAGGAAGCCACCUGGUUGGAAGGGUGGUGACGGUAGUGGUAGAAGAAGCACCGGCUAACUACGUG